UACGUAGGUGGCAAGCGUUAUCCGGAAUUAUUGGGCGUGAAGCGCGCGCUGGCGGUUUCUUAAGUCUGAUGUGAAAGCCCACGGCUCAACCGUGGAGGGUCAUUGGAAACUGGGGAACUUGAGUGCAGAAGAGAAAAGCGGAAUUCCACGUGUAGCGGUGAAAUGCGUAGAGAUGUGGAGGAACACCAGUGGCGAAGGCGGCUUUUUGGUCUGUAACUGACGCUGAGGCGCGAAAGCGUGGGGAGCAAACAGG
rnacentral:rRNA from 1 species